CGCGUAGGCGGUGAGAUGUGUGUGAUGUGAAAGCCCCGGGCUUAACCUGGGAAGUGCAUCGCAAACUAUCUGACUGGAGUAUAUGAGAGGGUGGCGGAAUUUCCGGUGUAGCGGUGAAAUGCGUAGAGAUCGGAAGGAACGUCAAUGGCGAAGGCAGCCACCUGGCAUAAUACUGACGCUGAGGCGCGAAAGCGUGGGGAGCGAACAGGAUUAGAUACCCUGGUAGUCCACGCUGUAAACGAUGAGGACUAGAUGUUGGUUGGGGAACCAAUCAGUAUCGAAGCUAACGCGAUAAGUCUUCCGCCUGGGAAGUACGGCCGCAAGGUUGAA
rnacentral:rRNA from 1 species